CCUACGGGAGACAGCAGUGAGGAAUAUUGGUCAAUGGGCGCGAGUCUGAACCAGCCAAGUCGCGUGAGGGAAGACGGUCCUAUGGAUUGUAAACCUCUUUUGUCGGGGAGCAAAAGACGCCACGCGUGGCGUUCCGAGAGUACCCGAAGAAAAAGCAUCGGCUAACUCCGUGCCAGCAGCCGCGGUAAUACGGAGGAUGCGAGCGUUAUCCGGAUUUAUUGGGUUUACAGGGUGCGCAGGCGGAAGAUCAAGUCAGCGGUAAAAUUGAGAGGCUCAACCUGUUCGAGCCGUUGAAACUGGUUUUCUUGAGUGAGUGAGAGGUAUGCGGAAUGCGUGGUGUAGCGGUGAAAUGCAUAGAUAUCACGCAGAACUCCGAUUGCGAAGGCAGCAUACCGGCGCUCAACUGACGCUCAUGCACGAAAGUGUGGGUAUCGAACAGGAUUAGAUACCCUAGUAGUC
rnacentral:rRNA from 1 species